UUCCCUCGGUAUGAUAAUUCUUUCAUCAGUUUGUUCCCCGUUUCUUCUCUAGCCUGAGCCUGACAAACUAUUCUAGCUAGACAUGCGUGUGGCUCGUAACACCUGAUGACCAAACGGAUCUAUAGCACCAUCGAAUCUCAAACUUUAACUGCCAAAACUAUUGUUUUCAUCCUGUAGUCCCUUUUAGAAUUACUAAACUUCCUUUUUUGGGCCGAGAUUUAGAGGAACGCUUUCUGGGGUUUGUGUGCAAGUAUUUCAAACCAUACAGACCUAAAAAUUAGAAGUCAUUCCAUCUUUAUUCCCCUAGAGCCUUCCAGCAGUUCCUAAACCGCUCUAGUCGGAGCACGUUAUCAUUAUUGUUAGUUCUGAGUGAAUUCCCUCGGUAUGAUAAUUCUUUCAUCAGUUUGUUCCCUGUUUCUUCUCUAUCCUGAGCCUGACACACUAUUCUAGCUAGACAUGGGUGUGGCUCGUAACACCUGAUGACUAAAUGGAUCGACGGCACCAUCGAAUCUCAAACUUUAACUGCCAAAACUAUUGUUUUUCAUCCUGUAGUCCCAUUUAGAAUUAGUAAACGUCCUUUUUUGGGCCGAGAUUUAGAGGAACGCUUUCUCGGGGUUUGUGUGCAAGUAUUUCAAACCAUACGGACCUAAAAAUUAGAAGUCAUUCCAUCUUUAUUCCCCUAGUCAUCAGGUAUACACUCAAGUCGGAGCACGUUAUCAUUCUUGUUAGUUCUGAGUGAAUUCCCUCGGUAUGAUAAUUCUUUCAUAAAUUUGUUCCCCGUUUCUUAUAUGGCCUGAGCCUGACACACUAUUCUAGCUAGACAUGGGUGUGGCUCGUAACACCUGAUGACCAAACGGAUCUACGGCACCAUCAAAUCUCAAACUUUAACUGCCAAAACUAUUCUUUUUCAUUCUGUAGUCCCUUCUAGAAUUACUAAACGUCCUUUUUUGGGCCGAGAUUUCCAGGAACGCUUUCUCGGGGUUUGUGUGCAUGUAUUUCAAACCAUACAGACCUAAAAAUUAUAAGUCAUUCCAUCUUUAUUCCCGUAGAGCCUUCCAGUAGUUCCUAAACCGCUCCAGUCGGAGCAUGUUAUCAUUCUUGUUAGUUCUAAGUGAAUUCCCUCGGUAUGAUAAUUCUUUCAUCAGUUUGUUCCCCGUUUCUUCUCUAGCCUGAGCCUGGCACACUAGUCUAGCUAGACAUGGGUGUGGCUCGUAACACCCGAUGACUAAAUGGAUCGACGGCACCAUCGAAUCUCAAACUUUAACUGCCAAAACUAUUGUUUUUCAUCCUGUAGUCCCAUUUAGAAUUACUAAACGUCCUUUUUUGGGCCGAGAUUUAGAGGAACGCUUUCUCGUGGUUUGUGUGCAAGAAUUUCAAACCAUACGGACCUAAAAAUUAGAAGUCAUUCCAUCUUUAUUCCCCUAGAGCCUUCCAGUAGUUCCUAAACCGCUCUAGUCGGAGCACGUUAUCAUUCUUGUUAGUUCUGAGAGAAUUCCCUCGGUAUGAUAAUUCUUUUAUCAGUUUGUUCCCCGUUUCUUCUCUAGCCUGAGCCCGACACACUAUUCUAGCUAGACAUGGGUGUGGCUCGUAACACCUGAUGACCAAACGGAUCUACGGCACCAUCGAAUCUCAAACUUUAACUGCCAAAACUAUUGUUUUUCAUCCUGUAGUCCCUUUUAGAAUUACUAAAUGUCCUUUUUUGGGCCGAGAUUUCCAGGAACGCUUUCUCAGGGUUUGUGUGCAAGUAAUUCAAACCAUACGGACCUAAAAAUUAGAAGUCAUUCCAUCUUUAUUCCCCUAGAGCCUUCCAGCAGUUCCUAAACCGCUCAAGUCAGUGCACGUUAUCAUUCUUGUUAGUUCUAAGUGAAUUCCCUCGGUAUGAUAAUUUGUUCAUCAGUUUGUUCCCCGUUUCUUCUCUAGCCUGAGCCUGACACACUAUUCUAGCUAGACAUGGGUGUGGCUCGUAACACCUGAUGACCAAACGGAUCUACGACACCAUCGAAUCUCAAACUUUAACUACCAAAACUAUUGUUUUUCAUCCUCUAGUCCCUUUUAGAAUUACUAAACGUCCUUUUUUGGGCCGAGAUUUCCAGGAACGCUUUCUCGGGGUUUGUGUGCAUGUAUUUCAAACCAUACAGACCUAAAAAUUAGAAGUCAUUCCAUCUUUAUUCCCGUAGAGCCUUCCAGCAGUUCCUAAACCGCUCCAGUCGGAGCAUGUUAUCAUUCUUGUUUGUUCUGAGUGAAUUCCCUCGGUAUGAUAAUUCUAUCAUCAGUUUGUUCCCCGUUUCUUCUCUAGCCUGAGCCUGGCAAACUAUUCUAGCUAGACAUGGGUGUGGCUCGUAACACCUGAUGACCAAACGGAUCUACGACACCAUCGAAUCUCAAACUUUAACUACCAAAACUAUUGUUUUUCAUUCUAUAGUCCCUUCUAGAAUUUCUAAACGUCCUUUUUUGGGCCGAGAUUUCCAGGAAUGCUUUCUCGGGGUUUGUGUGCAAGUAUUUCAAAUCAUACGGACCUAAAAAUUAGAAGUCAUUCCAUCUUUAUUCCCCUAGAGCCUUCCAGUAGUUCCUAAACCGCUCCAGUCGGAGCACGUUAUCAUUCUUGUUAGUUCAUAGUGAAUUCCCUCGGUAUGAUAAUUCUUUCAUCAGUUUGUUCCCCGUUUCUUCUCUAGCCUGAGCCUGGCACAGUAUUCUAGCUAGACAUGGGUGUGGUCGUAACACCUGAUGACUAAAUGGAUCGACGGCACCAUCGAAUCUCAAACUUUAACUGCCAAAACUAUUGUUUUUCAUCCUGUAAUCCCAUUUAGAAUUACUAAACGUCCUUUUUUGGGCCGAGAUUUAGAGGAACGCUUUGUUGGGGUUUGUGUGCAAGUAUUUCAAACCAUACGGACCUAAAAAUUAGAACUCAUUCCAUAUUUAUUCCCCUUGAGCCUUCCAGCAGUUCCUAAACCGCUCUAGUCGGAGCACGUUAUCAUUCUUGUUAGUUCUAAGAGAAUUCCCUCGGUAUGAUAAUUCUUUUAUCAGUUUGUUCCCCGUUUCUUCUCUAGACUGGGCCCGACACACUAUUCUAGCUAGACAUGGGUGUGGCUCGUAACACCUGAUGACCAAACGGAUCUACGGCACCAUCGAAUCUCAAACUUCAACUGCCAAAACUAUUGUUUUUCAUCCUGUAGUCCCUUUUAGAAUUACUAAACGUCCUUUUUUGGGCCGAGAUUUCCAGGAACGCUUUCUCGGGGUUUGUGUGCAAGUAUUUCAAACCAUACGGACCUAAAAAUUAGAAGUCAUUCCAUCUUUAUUCCCGUAGAGCCAUCCAGCAGUUCCUAAACCGCUCCAGUCGGAGCACGUUAUCAUUCUUGUUAGUUCUGAGUGAAUUCCCUCGGUAUGAUAAUUCUUUCAUCAGUUUGUUCCCCGUUUCUUCUCUAGCCUGAGCCUGACAAACUAUUAUAGCUAGACAUGGGUGUGGCUCGUAACACCUGAUGACCAAACGGAUCUAUGGCACCAUCGAAUCUCAAACUUUAACUGCCAAAACUAUUGUUUUUCAUCCUGUAGUCCCUUUUAGAAUUACUAAACGCCCUUCUUUGGGACGAGAUUUCCAGGAACGCUUUCUCGGGGUUUGUGUGAAAGUAAUUCAAACCAUACGGACCUAAAAAUUAGAAGUCAUUCCAUCUUUAUUCCCGUGGAGCCUUCCAGUAGUUCCUAAACCGCUCCAGUCGGAGCACGUUAUCAUUCUUGUUAGUUCUGAGUGAAUUCCCUCGGUAUGAUAAUUCUUUCAUCAGUUUGUUCCCUGUUUCUUCUCUAGCCUGAGCCUGGCACACUAUUCUAGCUAGACAUGGGUGUGGCUCGUAACACCUGAUGACUAAACUGAUCAAUGACACCAUCGAAUCUCAAACUUUAACUGCCAAAACUAUUGUUUUUCAUCCUGUAGUCCCAUUUAGAAUUACUAAACGUCCUUUUUUGGGCCGAGAUUUCCAGGAACGCUUACUCGGGGUUUGUGUGCAAGUAUUUCAAACCAUACUGACCUAAAAAUUAGAAGUCAAUCCAUCUUUAUUCCCCUAGAGCCUUCCAGCAGUUCCUAAACCGCUCCAGUCGGAGCACGUUAUCAUUCUUGUUAGUUCUGAGUGAAUUCCCUCGGUAUGAUAAUUCUUUCAUCAGUUUGUUCCUUGUUUCUUCUCUAGCCUGAACCUGACACACUAUUCUAGCUAGACAUGGGUGUGGCUCGUAACACCUGAUGACCAAACGGAUCUACGGCACCAUCGAAUCUCAAACUUUAACUGCCAAAACUAUUAUUUUUAAUCCUCUAGUCCCAUUUAGAAUUACUAAACGUCCUUUUUUGGGCCGAGAUUUAGAGGAACGCUUUCAUGCGGUUUGUGUGCAAGUAUUUCAAACCAUACGGACCUAAAAAUUAGAAGUCAUUCCAUCUUUAUUCCCCUAGAGCCUUCCAGCAGUUCCUAAACCGCUCCAGUCGGAGCAUGUUAUCAUUCUUGUUAGUUCUGAGUGAAUUCCCUCGGUAUGAUAAUUCUUUCAUCAGUUUGUGGCCCGUUUCUUCUCUAGCCUGAGCCUGACACACUAUUCUAGCUAGACGUGGGUGUGGCUCGUAACACCUGAUGACCAAACGGAUCUACGGCACCAUCGAAUCUCAAACUUUAAGUGCCAAAACUAUUAUUUUUAAUCCUGUAGUCCCAUUUAGAAUUAC
rnacentral:lncRNA from 1 species